rnacentral:rRNA from 1 species
CCUACGGGUGGCAGCAGUGGGGGAUAUUGCACAAUGGGGGGAACCCUGAUGCAGCGACGCCGCGUGGGUGAAGAAGCGCCUCGGCGCGUAAAGCCCCGUCAGCAGGGAAGAAAAUAACGGUACCUGAAGAAGAAGCCCCGGCUAACUACGUGCCAGCACCCGUGGUAAUACGGAGGGGGCAACCGUUAUCCGGAUUUACUGGGGGUAAAGGGGGCGCAGACGGGGAUGCAGGCCAGGAGUGAAAGCCCGGGGCCCAACCCCGGGACUGCUCUUGGAACUGGGUGGCUGGAGUGCAGGAGGGGCAGGCGGAAUGCCCGGUGUAGCGGUGAAAUGCGUAGAUAUCAGGAGGAACACCGGUGGCGAAGGCGGCCUGCUGGACUGAAACUGACGUUGAGGCACGAAAGCGUGGGGAGCAAACAGGAUUAGAUACCCGUGUAGUC